rnacentral:rRNA from 1 species
AUGGCUUUUGAUUAUAAUUUAAGUCUGGCCUGCUCACUGACUUGUUUUGAAGAGCCGCGGUAUUUUGACCGUGCAAAGGUAGCAUAAUCAUUAGUCUUUUAAUUGGAGGCUGGAAUGAAUGGUUUGACGAGGAGUUGGCUGUCUCUAUUUAAUAUUUAGAAUUUAACUUUUGAGUUAAAAGGCUCAAAUUUUUCUUUAGGACGAGAAGACCCUAUAGAGCUUUAUAUUUUAUUUUUAUAUAGUCUCCUGUUAGUUUUUCUAUAUUUAAUAUAUGAUAUUUUGUUGGGGUGACAUGAAGAAUAACUAAACUCUUCAUUAUUAAAUCAUUGAUUUAUGUUGUUUUGAUCCAUAAUUUAUGAUCAUAAGAUUAAGUUACCUUAGGGAUAACAGCGUAAUUGUUUUGGAGAGCUCAAAUCGAUAAAGCAGAUUGCGACCUCGAUGUUGGAUUAAGAAAAAUGCUGGGUGCAGUAGCUUAGUAAUAGGCUGU